rnacentral:rRNA from 1 species
CCCAAUGUAGGGAUCGUAUACAGUCGAGCGGAUGACGGGAGCUUGCUCCUUGAUUAGCGGCGGACGGGUGAGUAAUGCCUAGGAAUCUGCCUGGUAGUGGGGGACAACGUUCCGAAAGGAGCGCUAAUACCGCAUACGUCCUACGGGAGAAAGUGGGGGAUCUUCGGACCUCACGCUAUCAGAUGAGCCUAGGUCGGAUUAGCUAGUUGGUGAGGUAAAGGCUCACCAAGGCGACGAUCCGUAACUGGUCUGAGAGGAUGAUCAGUCACACUGGAACUGAGACACGGUCCAGACUCCUACGGGAGGCAGCAGUGGGGAAUAUUGGACAAUGGGCGAAAGCCUGAUCCAGCCAUGCCGCGUGUGUGAAGAAGGUCUUCGGAUUGUAAAGCACUUUAAGUUGGGAGGAAGGGCAGUAAGUUAAUACCUUGCUGUUUUGACGUUACCGACAGAAUAAGCACCGGCUAACUCUGUGCCAGCAGCCGCGGUAAUACAGAGGGUGCAAGCGUUAAUCGGAAUUACUGGGCGUAAAGCGCGCGUAGGUGGUUCGUUAAGUUGGAUGUGAAAGCCCCGGGCUCAACCUGGGAACUGCAUCCAAAACUGGCGAGCUAGAGUAUGGUAGAGGGUGGUGGAAUUUCCUGUGUAGCGGUGAAAUGCGUAGAUAUAGGAAGGAACACCAGUGGCGAAGGCGACCACCUGGACUGAUACUGACACUGAGGUGCGAAAGCGUGGGGAGCAAACAGGAUUAGAU